UACAGAGGUCUCGAGCGUUAGGCGGAAUCACUGGGCUUAAAGCGUGUGUAGGCGGAUCGUUAAGUGCCUUGUGAAAUCCCACGGCUCAACCGUGGAACUGCUUGGCAUACUGGCGGUCUUGAGCAACCUAGGGGCGAGCGGAACAAAUGGUGGAGCGGUGAAAUGCGUAGAUAUCAUUUGGAACGCCAAUGGUGAAAACAGGUAGCUGGGGUUGUGCUGACGCUGAGACACGAAAGCCAGGGGAGCAAACGGG
rnacentral:rRNA from 1 species